GACGAACGCUGGCGGCGUGCUUAACACAUGCAAGUCGAACGGAAAGGCCCUGCUUUUGUGGGGUGCUCGAGUGGCGAACGGGUGAGUAACACGUGAGUAACCUGCCCUUGACUUUGGGAUAACUUCAGGAAACUGGGGCUAAUACCGGAUAGGAGCUCCUGCUGCAUGGUGGGGGUUGGAAAGUUUCGGCGGUUGGGGAUGGACUCGCGGCUUAUCAGCUUGUUGGUGGGGUAGUGGCUUACCAAGGCUUUGACGGGUAGCCGGCCUGAGAGGGUGACCGGCCCCAGUGGGCGAGGGGAAGGGCCAGGGGCCAAAGGGGGGGAAGGGGGGGGAAAUUGGGCACAAGGGGGGGAGGCUGUGAGGAAGAACCCCGGGGGGGGGAGGACGGCAUUGGGGUUGGAACCCGAUUUCGCGUGUGACGAGGGGUGGGGGCGGGAAAGGGGGAAAAAGGACCGGCUAAACUCGGU
rnacentral:rRNA from 1 species